CCAGAAGAGACCCUAACCGGUCCUCUCAACCCUGCCCAUCGUACCCUUGUGUUGUUCCCUCGGCGAGGCUUUUCAAGCCCGCCGGCGGGAAGAUCAACGAAACUCUUUGCAAGCAAGCAUCCUGAAACCUCUGAUCGAAUACAAAUUGUCA
rnacentral:misc_RNA from 1 species